UGGAAAUUUGAGAGGAUCUGCUCCUAGUACGAGAGGACCAGAGUGGACGAACCUCUGGUGUUUCGGUUGUGACGCCAGUCGCAUUGCCGAGUAGCUAUGUUCGGAUGGGAUAACCGCUGAAAGCAUCUAAGCGGGAAGCCCACCUUAAGAUUAGAUUUCCCUAAAGAGCCGUUGUAGACUACGACGUUGAUAGGUUGGGUGUGGAAGCACAGCGAUGUGUGUAGCUAACCAAUACUAAUUGCUCGUUUGGCUUGACUAUACAACGCCUAA
rnacentral:rRNA from 1 species